rnacentral:rRNA from 1 species
GACAGAGGAGCCAAGCGUUGUCCGGACUGGCUGGGCGUAAAGCGCACGCAGGCGGCGCUGCGCGUGGGGUGUGAAAGCUCUUGGCUUAACUGAGAGAGGCCAUCCCAUACGGCAGUGCUCGAGCGGUGCAGAGGUCCGCGGAAUUGCCGGUGUAGUGGUGAAAUGCGUAGAGAUCGGCAGGAACACCCAGGGGGAAACCAGCGGACUGGGCAUCAGCUGACGCUCAGGUGCGACAGCGUGGGGAGCGAACCGG